rnacentral:rRNA from 1 species
UGGUGGGUAGUUUGACUGGGGCGGUCUCCUCCUAAAGAGUAACGGAGGAGCACGAAGGUUGGCUAAUCCUGGUCGGACAUCAGGAGGUUAGUGCAAUGGCAUAAGCCAGCUUGACUGCGAGCGUGACGGCGCGAGCAGGUGCGAAAGCAGGUCAUAGUGAUCCGGUGGUUCUGAAUGGAAGGGCCAUCGCUCAACGGAUAAAAGGUACUCCGGGGAUAACAGGCUGAUACCGCCCAAGAGUUCAUAUCGACGGCGGUGUUUGGCACCUCGAUGUCGGCUCAUCACAUCCUGGGGCUGAAGUAGGUCCCAAGGGUAUGGCUGUUCGCCAUUUAAAGUGGUACGCGAGCUGGGUUUAGAACGUCGUGAGACAGUUCGGUCCCUAUCUGCCGUGGGCGCUGGAGAACUGAGGGGGGCUGCUCCUAGUACGAGAGGACCGGAGUGGACGCAUCACUGGUGUUCGGGUUGUCAUGCCAAUGGCACUGCCCGGUAGCUAAAUGCGGAAGAGAUAAGUGCUGAAAGCAUCUAAGCACGAAACUUGCCCCGAGAUGAGUUCUCCCUGAGACUUUAAGUCUCCUGAAGGAACGUUGAAGACGACGACGUUGAUAGGCCGGGUGUGUAAGCGCAGCGAUGCGUUGAGCU